rnacentral:lncRNA from 1 species
CGAUUGCUGGAAAUGCAGGAUUAGUUGCAGCACUUGUGGCCUUGUCUGGUGACAAAACUACUGGGAUUGACAAGAACACAAUAUUCUCUGCAGUUCCCCCAAUGUUUCCAACUCCUCCACCACCACCAGCACCUUGGAAACCAUGAGAUGCCACAGUUGACAGUUUUUAAGAGUUUAUCUGUGUGGCUUUUGGUAAGAUGAUUUUGCUGCAAUAGAGUUUGGACUUGGAACAUCUUGGGAGGUAAAGAUGAUGCUACUUAAGGAAGGAGGAUGGUCAUAGGAAAGACUACAAUGCAUAAGUUUGUGAAGAUGACUGCGGUAUACGUGCUUGGGAACUUUAAGAAAUUGAUAUUUUGUACCGAAGAUGUCUGUCUGAUUUUGUGAUAUACUUAGUAUAUGUGUAUGAUAUGUAACGUUGUAUUCUUUGGGAAAACAAAUUGUGAAUUCAACAGUUCAAAGACUGAUUAACAAUAAAUUCGAUUUAAUGUUGUAACAGAUCUCAUCUC